UACGGAGGGGGCUAGCGUUGUUCGGAAUUACUGGGCGUAAAGCGCACGUAGGCGGACUGUUAAGUCGGGGGGUGAAAUCCUGGGGCUCAACCUCAGAAUUGCCUCCGAUACUGGCAGUCUCGAGUGCGGGAGAGGUGAGUGGAAUUCCCAGUGUAGAGGUGAAAUUCGUAGAUAUUGGGAAGAACACCAGUGGCGAAGGCGGCUCACU
rnacentral:rRNA from 1 species